rnacentral:rRNA from 1 species
UACGUAGGGUGCAAGCGUUGUCCGGAAUUAUUGGGCGUAAAGAGCUCGUAGGCGGUUCGUCGCGUCGGCUGUGAAAUCCCGAGGCUCAACCUCGGGUCUGCAGUCGAUACGGGCGGACUGGAGUUCGGCAGGGGAGACUGGAAUUCCUGGUGUAGCGGUGAAAUGCGCAGAUAUCAGGAGGAACACCGAUGGCGAAGGCAGGUCUCUGGGCCACUACUGACGCUGAGAAGCGAAAGCAUGGGGAGCAAACAGG